rnacentral:ncRNA from 1 species
AAAAGACGGGUAAAUCCUGAUACGUGCCUGAGGUGCUCCCUUCCAUCGGUUGGCUAAGAGCCUCGGGAACAUCGGCGUAGCAGGGGCCGUCUUUU